rnacentral:rRNA from 1 species
CAGUAGCCGCGGGAAUACGUAGGUGGCAAGCGUUGUCCGGAAUUAUUGGGCGUAAAGCGCGCGCAGGCGGUUUCUUAAGUCUGAUGUGAAAGCCCCCGGCUCAACCGGGGAGGGUCAUUGGAAACUGGGAAACUUGAGUGCAGAAGAGGAGAGUGGAAUUCCACGUGUAGCGGUGAAAUGCGUAGAGAUGUGGAGGAACACCAGUGGCGAAGGCGACUCUCUGGUCUGUAACUGACGCUGAGGAGCGAAAGCGUGGGGAGCGAACAGGAUUAGAUACCCCUGUAGUUCCGUCUCUUAUACA